AUACAUGCAGUCGAGCGGAGCUUAGCCUUCCUUUGGAAGGCUCUGGCUUAGCGGCGGACGGGUGAGUAACACGUAGGCAACCUGCCCGUAAGACCGGGAUAACUUGCGGAAACGUGAGCUAAUACCGGAUAGAUAGGAAGAGCGCAUGCUCUUCUUAGGAAAGACGGAGCAAUCUGUCACUUACGGAUGGGCCUGCGGCGCAUUAGCUAGUUGGUGGGGUAAAGGCCUACCAAGGCGACGAUGCGUAGCCGACCUGAGAGGGUGACCGGCCACACUGGGACUGAGACACGGCCCAGACUCCUACGGGAGGCAGCAGUAGGGAAUCUUCGGCAAUGGACGGAAGUCUGACCGAGCAACGCCGCGUGAGUGAAGAAGGUUUUCGGAUCGUAAAACUCUGUUGCCAGAGAAGAAAGCUAAGGAGAGUCACUGCUCUUUGGUUGACGGUAUCUGAGAAGAAAGCCCCGGCUAACUACGUGCCAGCAGCCGCGGUAAUACGUAGGGGGCAAGCGUUGUCCGGAAUUAUUGGGCGUAAAGCGCGCGCAGGCGGCUGAGUAAGUCUGGUGUUUAAACCUGGGGCUCAACCUCGGGUCGCAUUGGAAACUGCUUGGCUGGAGUGCAGGAGAGGAAAGUGGAAUUCCACGUGUAGCGGUGAAAUGCGUAGA
rnacentral:rRNA from 1 species